GAAUAAUAAAUCUUAAUUAAGCUUUUAAUUUAAUUAAUUAUUA
rnacentral:tRNA from 2 species